GACCUUUGGGAUGGCCGGGAGACCCUAGAAAUCACCUCAAGUCUCCAGUCCAGGACACAGCUGCCUAGGGGAGUCCCAGGGAAAGGCGGCAGAGAUUGCAUGGCCCGCAAGGUGACUGACUCCAAGGCGACCGCUGCGGAAUCUAGGAGAUUCCAAACCACUGGCAGUUACCAGCGCACAAAGCCCCUGGUGGAGAGGAGGCGAGAGAAGCGAGCUGGGAGGAGGCCCCACUGCUUGGCUACAAAGUGGAUAGAUCAUCUCUUCAGGUCUCCUGGAAGUGGCUGAAACAUGGUGAGGGAGGUCACAUCACUCUCAGGAAGGUGAUAUCACUUACAGGAAGGAAUCAAGAAGCAUUUACAGUGGA